rnacentral:rRNA from 1 species
UGGUGGAGUGAUUUGUCUGGUUAAUUCCGUUAACGAACGAGACCUCGGCCUACUAAAUAGUUGACUAAACUCUUCGGGGUUUAGCAAAAUUCCAAUUCAACUUCUUAGAGGGACUAUCGGUGGUUAGCCGAUGGAAGUUCGAGGCAAUAACA